rnacentral:other from 1 species
AAUUGUCUAAAAGAAGAAUACCGCUAUGAAAAACCUACUAAGUAUAACGAUUGGGAAUCUAAUUCACUGGUGGUGUAGAAUACUUUAAUUUAUUAAAGGAUCCUAAAAUCGGUGAUGUGAUGCCCACCUGGGAGAUCAGGUUUUUAAUUCGUUAAGGAUUCUCUUUUGGACUUUGC